CCUACGGGAGGCAGCAGUGAGGAAUAUUGGACAAUGGGGGAAACCCUGAUGCAGCGAAGCCGCGUGAGGGAAGAAGUCAUUAGGUAUGUAAAACUCUAUCAGCAGGGGAGAAAAGGACGGUACGUGAGUAAGAAGCCCCGGAUAACUACGUGCCAGCAGCCGCGGUAAUACGUAGGGGGCAAGCGUUAUCCGGAUUUACUGGGUGUAAAGGGAGCGUAGACGGGAGUGCAAGUCUGGAGUGAAAGGCGGGGGCUCAACCCCAGGAUUGCGCUGGAAACUGUACGGCUUGAGUGCAGGAGAGGUAAGUGGAAUUCGUAGUGUAGCGGUGAAAUGCUUAGAUAUUAGGAGGAACACCAGUGGCGAAGGCGGCUUACUGGACUGUAACUGACGUUGAGGCUCGAAAGCGUGGGGAGCAAACAGGAUUAGAUACCCGAGUAGUC
rnacentral:rRNA from 1 species